UACGUAGGGUGCGAGCGUUGUCCGGAAUUAUUGGGCGUAAAGGGCUCGUAGGCGGUUUGUCGCGUCGGGAGUGAAAACCAGGUGCUUAACACCUGGCUUGCUUUCGAUACGGGCAGACUAGAGGUAUUCAGGGGAGAACGGAAUUCCUGGUGUAGCGGUGAGAUGCGCAGAUAUCAGGAGGAACACCGGUGGCGAAGGCGGCUUUCUGGGCCUUACCUGACGCUGAGGAGCGGAAAGCUGGGGGAGCGAACGGG
rnacentral:rRNA from 1 species